GAUUCCUUAACUUAAUGGGUAAAGUGUAUUCUUGAUAAGAAUAAGAUCAGCGUUCGAUUCGCUGAGGGAUUA
rnacentral:tRNA from 1 species